GCGCCAGCGGACGCUUUGCCGGAUCCGGCGGAGGCGUCCAUGCGUGCGAGCGAGCGAGCGAGCGGGCGACCGAAUCCGCGCGUGCGAGGACGGCGGCGGGGGGGACGCCGAAUUGCUACCGCGGCUGCAUCGAAUUGGGAAGGGAGGCGGAGAGGAGAGGAGGCGAUGGAUUUGAAGGGCGCUUGGGAAAAAGGGAGAGGAAAAAAAUAAAUAAAACAGAGAAGUUUUUAUUCCGCGAGAGGGGAGGACGGA
rnacentral:lncRNA from 1 species